AACUGCUUUUCCGUUCUCCCCAUAUCAACACCACUCCAUGGUACUCCAGCAUCUGAGCAAAACAGGUGGAAAAGAGGAAGAUUAGAGAGCUGGGGGAACGGGCAGGAUGGUGGAAUUCUGGUGCGGCUCUACCCAGGAAGUGUAAUGAUGAACUUCCUCCAACCACACCUACCCAGACGCCGCUGUGUUCAUACAGUACCUUCCAGUCGAGCACCAGAGACCACGUUCCCAAGAUGGCUGCUCCUACACCCCAAAGAAAGAUGGGGGUCCACCAAACCAGACACAGCAUCAGUAUCUCUCGGCUGUUUAUUAAAGAGCGGUUAGGUUAUGGUUUGCUGAAUUUCACAUCGUACGCGGGAUGUUUAAUUAUUUUAUAUUUCCCCCGCUUGGAUAAGAGCCCAGAGUCUGUGUAUUUUUACUUUUAGGAUUUUAACUGUUGCGAUGACAGUGAAUUGCAGUGCGUGUGGCACCCUUGUGCUGUGUCAGGGUACAGCGUGCCAGUAUGAAUGCUGCUGCUUCACAGUAUAGGUCAAAGUAAACACGCUGAAAUGCUGGUUACAAUGGGUCUCACCUGUAUUCAUUCGUUUAAGUUGGAGGAGUGCAUAAGAAAUAUCUUGACCCGACUGCGCCUCAUUGUCACCAGGAAACAGACAUGCAUUACUGUCACUGCCAGGGUACAAACAUAUCUCCACCUUGAGACUGUUGCCCAGUUGCUAGGCGUUAGACACAUACAUUUUAGCACAUUAAUCAUGGGUGUCAAUCCGGGCCAUAGAGCCUGGCUGCAGUGUGGGAAAGUAACACCAACUGGAUGUGAUGUUAAUACCAUGAUACCUUUCAAUAAAGGUGAGUUCUUUACAGUCAACUGAGAAACUUACGUUUUUAAUAAAAUAUAUAUAAAAUGA